rnacentral:rRNA from 1 species
GUCUAUGGCCAUGCUACCCUGAACAAGCCUGAUCCCAUCUGAUCUCAGAAGCUAAGCAGGGUCGGGCCUGGUUAGUACUUGGAUGGGAGACUACCUAGGAAGACCAGGUGCUGUAGGCA